rnacentral:rRNA from 1 species
UAGGGAAUCUUCGGCAAUGGACGAAAGUCUGACCGAGCAACGCCGCGUGAGUGAAGGAGGUUUUCGGAUCGUAAAACUCUGUUGGUAGAGAAGAACGUUGGUGAGAGUGGAAAGCUCAUCAAGUGACGGUAACUACCCAGAAAGGGACGGCUAACUACGUGCCAC